rnacentral:lncRNA from 1 species
UCAUGAUGAUAGUAAGAACCCAACUAUAUGUGUAAUUACUUGUGUUGAAGUGCAUGGCCGAAGCCGAAGCCAAUGCCAAUAACAUUUUUAUUUCAUCAUAUGUAUAUAUAAAAAAAUGUAGAUGCACAUUUAAUUUUCAAUUCACUAAGGAAUAAUAGUACUUAUGUUGUUGAAAUGAUGCACCAUUUUGUUGAUUACUGACUUUUUUCUCUUUAGUGCUUUUAGUUUUUAGAUGCUGAGAGAGCAUUUUCUGGUUAUGGCAUUAAGCCAAAAAAUCUACUAUAAAGGAAUUUUUUUGUAAGUUCCACCCUUAAGGUGAAUAAGUGAAGUAUCCGGGAUUUAAACUCCAGCCCUGCAUAUAUAAUUCGAUGUUCUUACCAACUGAGCCAAGUUCACUGAAACACUAUAAAGAAAUGAUUAGUAGUGAUAAUGUAAUAACAAAAAUCUCUAUCAUUGCUUAAUUCUGUCAAAAUACAGUCCACCGGAAUACAUUAAACCAUGGGCAAGGAAAGUAGGAAUGAAAAAGUGGAAACAAAAUGGUAAAUUGACAAAUUACAACAUGACUCAUGACUCUGCAUUUCUCUUUUUUAGCUAGAAGUAUCUUUUGUAACAAAAAUCUCUAUUAUUUU